UGCGUAGGCGGUGCGGUAAGUCUUCUGUGAAAUCUCCGGGCUUAACUCGGAGCCUGCAGAGGAAACUGCCGUGCUGGAGUAUGGGAGAGGUGAGUGGAAUUCCCGGUGUAGCGGUGAAAUGCGUAGAUAUUGGGAGGAACACCUGUGGCGAAAGCGGCUCACUGGACCAUUACUGACGCUGAUGCACGAAAGCUAGGGGAGCAAACAGGAUUAGAUACCCUGGUAGUCCUAGCCCUAAACGAUGAUCGCUUGGUGUGACAGGUACCCAAUCCUGUCGUGCCGGAGCUAACGCGUUAAGCGAUCCGCCUGGGGAGUACGGUCGCAAGGCUGAA
rnacentral:rRNA from 1 species